AGAUUGAACGCUGGCGGCAUGGCUAAAACAUGCAAGUCGAACGCGAAAGGGAGCAAUCCCAAGUAGAGUGGCGAAAGGGUGAGUAAUACGUUUCUACGUGCCUUGAGGUCGAGGAUAGCCAAGGGAAACUUUGGGUAAUACUCGAUGUGGUCGCAAGAUCAAAGAUUUAUCGCCUUAAGAGCGGGGAACGUCCUAUCAGGUAGUUGGUGAGGUAAUGGCUCACCAAGCCUUAGACGGGUAGCAGGUGUGAGAGCACGGCCUGCCACAUCGGGACUGAGACACUGCCCGGACUUCUACGGAAGGCUGCAGUAACGAAUCUUCCGACAAUGACGACGAAAGCGUGACGGAGCAAUGCUGGCGUGACGAGGAUGAACGCCCCGU
rnacentral:rRNA from 1 species